UACGUAGGGUGCAAGCGUUGCCCGGAUUUAUUGGGCGUAAAGGGCGCGUAGGCGGCUCUGCACGUCCGUUGUGAAAUCGCCCGGCUCAACUGGGCGGGGUCAGCGGAUACGGCAGAGCUUGAGCAAGCUAGGGGGCAAUGGAAUUCCCGGUGUAGUGGUGGAAUGCGUAGAUAUCGAGAGGAACACCAGUGGCGAAGGCGAGUCUCUAGACAACUCCUGACACUGAGGCACGAAAGCUAGGGGAGCAAACAGG
rnacentral:rRNA from 1 species